rnacentral:lncRNA from 1 species
AAGUUGGUAGAAGAUAGAUUAAAGCCAGAAGUCUAACUUGUUUAAUUGCAAAUGAAAAUAUGGAGUUUGUUUUUAUUCAUUUAAGGAGCAAACCAUUUGAAAAAGUAUUUUUUUCAAUGGCUAUUAUUUAGAUUUCUGAAUUCUGUGUAUUUUUCUUUACACUUGCUAGUGAUUUUCCUCAAACUAAGCAUGAUUUGGUCAAAUAUGAUGACACACAUUGCUAAUUUGUAUCACAGAGAAUGACUGACACUGACAAGUGAUUGAGAGCAGAAAUCUUGCAGGAUGGGUCACAACGGACCUGGAGACCUGGACUGACUUCAGAAAUUUCCGUUCAUAACUACAGAGCCUUUCUGCAGAUGUACUCACUUUGUGUUCUUUUAUCCAUGUUGACUUGAAAGUUUGGGGCGGUAAGAUUCAUGUUAUAAAGGCCUAGGUAUCCAGGAUGUCCUCCUAGAUGUUAUUUUCCAGGUAACUUCUUAGAGCAUUUCUUUUACCUUUUCUGCUCAGCCUCACGAGUAUACAACAGCUCUUGUAGUGUCUUGUUGCGUCUGUUCUCUAAGCAUAUCCAUCUUGAUAGAACUGUGUUGUGAUAAGUGGUACUUCAGUCUGGUAGACCGACUACAUUCCAGUGAUUGAUUCAAUCUUGCCCUUCACUGUGAAGAAUGUAACACCUCUCCUUCAAACACAUUGCAGAUUCAAAAGCACCAAGGUUGGGAUACCAGAAUUCCAACUGUAGAGCAUCAUUUUGGCGUGUGUAUGUCAUGUGGAUGUGUGUGUGUUUAUGUGGGUAAGAGAUAGAAAGAGCCAGAGACAGGAAACUAUAGAGGGCGGUGCCCCUAAUAUCUUUUGUAAGACAGAAUAGAAGUAAUUUAAAAAAUAUACUCAGAAUAUAUUCGAUGACUAAUGACACAUUUUCUCAUAAAAUUGCAGAUCCAUAUUUCACUUUCAAGAAUAGACACACUAUUUCCUUUUGGCGUAGACAAAGGCUCUUCCAGAUGUGAAGUUUCUUUCCACUAUGAAAUGCAAAUAUUUAAUCCUGACAUAUACAGAAACCAAGCAGGAAUAAAACUUUAAUUUCUAAGAAUAUGACAUGGUUUGUAGAAAUAUUUCCUAACUGUAUUUUAACACUCAAGAUUUCAUUCCCACAGUUUUCCUUUUCCCUUAGGAAUUUUAUCUUCAAAUUCAUAUAAUGUUAUUGUAACAUUCAAAUGACAUCUGAUGUUUUUGUUCCCUACAAUAUGUAUGUGAAUAUGUGAAAAUAUACAUAGAGUAAAAAGUAUCAUUAAAGGAUAAUGAGCCAUAAUUCAAAUUUGCCUUUCUCUUGUUUAUCUUAAAUGAGAUUUUUUUGUUUUCUUUAAAGAAAGGACAGAAUCUGAGUCGAGAUUAUUCAUAGCGAUCUGAAGGCAGCAUUUUGCCUUUGGUGAUUGCCUGGUUUUCUUUAAGAUAGCGCACAUACAUACUCUUGGCUUCCAGGGGGUGCUAGUGGUAAAGAACCCACCUGCCAAUGCAAGAGACAGAAGAGGCAUGAAUUUGAUCCCUGGGUCCAGAAAAGCCUCUGGAGAUGGGCAUGGCAAUCCUUUGAGUAUUCUUGCCUGGAGAAUUCCAUGGACAGAGGAACCUGGCAGGCUAUGGUCC